AAUGUGAAGUAAUCGCUGCACAUAUUCAUGUGUAGAGGAAAGUCCAUGCUCACACAAGCUGUGAUGCUUGUAGUGUUCGUGCUUGACGAAAUCAUAAGUCAAGGUAACCAUUAGGUUAACGGCAGGGAAAAUACCUAAGUCUUUUGAUAUGGUAUUACUACCUUGAAAGUGCCACAGUGACGUAGCUAAAUAGGAAACUAUUUAGGUGGAACGCGGUAAACCCCCCCUCGAGUGAGCAACCCAAAUAUUGGUAGGGGCAUCUUCUAUUAGGUAACAAAGAACCGAAUGAAGGACAAGUAAUGUGAUAAACUUACUUGUAGACAGAUGAUUACACCUUUGGUACGAGGCUGACCACCGUUUGCAGUACGAAAGAACAGAACAUGGCUUACGGAC
rnacentral:RNase_P_RNA from 2 species